rnacentral:pre_miRNA from 13 species
GAUGGUUAUACAGAACUUUAGUUUUGAGGUUGGUGUACUGUGUGUGGGUAUACAUAUUUAUCCCACACAGCCACUAUGUUUCAAAGCAAAGGUGCACAUC